AUGAACGCUGGCGGCGUGCUUAACACAUGCAAGUCGAACGAUGAUCCGGUGCUUGCACCGGGGAUUAGUGGGCGAACGGGUGAGUAACACGUGGAGUAACCUGCCCUUAACUCUGGGAUAAGCCUGGGAAAACUGGGUCUAAUACCGGAUAUGACUCCUCAAUCGCAUGGUGGGGGGUGGAAAGCUUUAUUGUGGGUUUUGGAUGGAACUUCGCGGCCUAUCAGCUUGUUGGUGAGGUAAUGGCUCACCAAGGCGACGACGGGUAGCCGGCCUGAGAGGGUGACCGGCCACACUUGGGACUGAGACAUCGGCCCCAGACUCCUACGGGAGGCAGCAGUGGGGAAUAUUGCACAAUGGGCGCAAGCCUGAUGCAGCGACGCCGCGUUGAGGGAUGACGGCCUUUCGGGUUGUAAAACCUCUUUUCAGUAGGGAAGAAGCGAAAGUGACGGUACCUGCAGAAGAAGCGCCGGCUAACUACGUUGCCAGCAGCCGCGGUAAGAUACGUAGGGGCGCAAGCGUUAUCCGGAAUUAUUGGGCGUAAAGAGCUCGUAGGCGGUUUUGUCGCGUCUUGCCGUGAAAAGGUCCGGGGCUCAACUUCCCGGAUCUGCGGUGGGUACGGGCAGACUAGAAGUGAUGUAGGGGGAGACUGGAAUUCCUGGUGUAGCGGUGAAAAUGCGCAGAUAUCAGGAGGAACACCGAUUGGCGAAGGCAGGUCCUCUGGGCAUUAACUGACGCUGAGGGAGCGAAAGCAUGGGGAGCGAACAGGAUUAGAUACCCUGGUAGUCCAUGCCGUAAACGUUGGGCACUAGGUGUGGGGGGACAUUCCACGUUUUUUUCCCGCGGCCGUAGCUAACGCAUUAAGUGCCCCGCCUGGGGGAGUACGGCCGCAAGGCUAAAACUCAAAAGGAAUUGACGGGGGGCCCCGCACAAGCCGGCGGAGCAUGCGGAUUAAUUCGAUGCAACGCGAAGAAACCUUGCCAAGGCUUGAACAUGGACCGGGACCGGGCUGGAAACAGUCCUUCCCCUUUGGGGCCGGUUCAACAGGUGGUGCAUGGUUGUCGUCAGGCCUUCGUGUCGUGAGAUGUUGGGUUAAGUCCCGCAACGAGCGCAACCCUCGUUCCAUGUUGCCAGCGCGUAAUGGCGGGGACUCAUGGGAGACUGCCGGGGUCAACUCGGAGGAAGGUGGGGACGAACGUCAAAAUCAUCAUUGCCCCUUAUGUCUUGGGCUUCACGGCAUUGCUACAAUUGGCCGGUACAUAAAGGGUUUGCGAUACUGUGAGGUGGAGCUAAUUCCCAAAAAAAGCCGGUCUCAGUUCGGAUUGGGGUCUGCAACUCGACCCCAUGAAGUCGGAGUCGCUAGUAAUCGCAGAUCAGCAACGCUGCGGUGAAUAACGUUUCCCGGGCCCUUGUACACACCGCCCGUUCAAAGUCACGAAAGUUGGUAACACCCGAAGCCGGUGGGCCUAACCCCCUUGUGGGAGGGAGCUGUCGAAGGUGGGACUGGCGAUUGGGACU
rnacentral:rRNA from 1 species